UCAGAGGAAGACCCAAAAAAUGAUCAGAGACUCCAAUCACCCUCGUCAUGGACUGUUCUCUCUGCUACCGCACUGCAAGCGGUACCGGAGCGCCAAGUCUAGGACCAAAAGGCUCCUUAACUGCUUCUACCCCCUUCUACCCCAUCAAAUGGCCACCCGGACUAUUUCCAUUGACACCCCCCCAUUGUUUUUAUAAUGCUGCUACUAGCUGUUUAUUAUCUACUUUACCUCUACCUACAUGUACAAAUUACCUCUACUAACCUGUUCCCCCACACAUUGACUCAGUACCGGUACCCCCUGUAUAUAGCCUCGCUAUUUUUAUUUUAUUGUGUUACAUUUUAUAUUUAUUUAUAGUUAACCAAAAAUGUAAAACAAGAAAUAGUUAACGGCUUGUAAGUAAGCAUUUCACGGUAAGGUCUACAACUGUUGUAUUCGGACCCAUGUGACAAAUAAAAUUUGAUUUGAGAUGUCCCAUCCACAUAGUAAGAUUUUAGAUGAGCAGAUAGACCAAUCCCAGUCUAUUUUACCGUUACUUUAGUGAAGUCUGUGGGUUAUGGUAUUUUAAUGUAAAUGUUACCGUUUUAGUAAUCAACUUAGCUAGCUAGUAAAAGUACCUUUUUGUUUGUUUGUGUGUCUUUGAAAUGGGCAGAACGGAAACCCAGUGACGACACUCGGGUCUGUAGCUGCCAUUUUCCAGUGGAAAAGAGAAAUGGUACCAGAAAAGGUAGGUCAUCCAUCAUGACAGAAGAAGAAGAUCCAGACUGUUGAUUGGGAAACAAGAACAAACAAUGAGUCAUGAGGAUUAGGAGGUGAGUAUGAUAAAUAAUGUUUUUUUCUGUCCAGAUAAAGAUGGUGAUACAGCAUAAAAAAAGACCUACCGCACACCAAAUGUCUCUUUGUUUUCCAGUCCAACAGGAGUGCAUCCCUCAGACUGUAUGAUGCCAGUGUGAUCCGGUCGUGGAGACUACAGCUGAUCGAGCCUGUGGACGGACAGACAUGAGGCGUGACAUGCGGAAACAUCAGGCUCACCCCACGAGAAGCAGUAAAUGAUCAACGCCACCAUCAACAAGAAGAUCUGCUGGAAGUGAUGUAAUCUCACUCUGGGGGUACUGACAGGAGGUGCAAUAUGAGUCUGUCAGAGGUUGUCACGAUGGAUGGGGAUGGUGAUGAAGAAGUGGUGGUCCACACAACGAAGAAGCAGUGUCCCUUCCAGUGAUUAUGGAGCUGACCUUGGACCUGGUUGGUGCCAGUAAGGAUGGUCUUCACGGAAAUCCUUCGACUUCACUGCCUCUUCAAUGGUAAGGUCCUUUGCACCAUAGGGACACUUUGACCACCACCACUGCAGACAAUCCAGUGAGGUACCCAGGAUCCCAGACCCCGGGACCCAAAGCCCUGACUCCUGCAUCUCCAUCCCUGUAGCCAUUUUGAAUGCCUUGAUGCCCUCCUCUUCGUUAUCUGUGCCCCACUUUACAGACAUCACCCUAUCCAACGACUGAUCUGAGGACCCUUUUUAGAAGCGACAGAGGACAAGUGCAGUUUUUCCAUAAACCUUUAAUUGAUAAAUUGGGAUUUUAUUGCUUAAGAUAUCAAUCAUAUAGUGGGAAUGAUCCUAUACCUUUAGACUGUGUGAAUGCAUGUACCAAUGAAUAAAUAAAUACUGUGCCUCUGAAGAUAUACCAUAUGAUUGGUCUUCAAAUUCAUCUCCAGUGAUCAUAAGGUAAAAUAGAUCUAAAACAAUUGUCAUUUAGCCUUUAAUUACAAUCCCCUUAUCCAAACGGAUUACUCUUUUUAUCAAGCUCUUAUCAGUAGCUCUAAUAAAUGUGUAAAUUACAGUGCUGUUAUCGGGAAAAAAUGAUAUGUUUCCAGUUGGAACCGACAGGUUCACUCGACCUAAUUGAUGGUUUCCUCCAAGUAAAAGGUGGUGUAAUUAUUAGGGAAUUAAGGGCUCUAUUCAAUCUGUAUUGCGGAAGUUCAGCAUUACAGCGUGACUGAAGUUUAAAGACCAUGUUCCCACGUUAGUGGAGACUGCAUUCCAAUCACUGGCCACUUUAAUGAAUGGAUCACUAGUCACUUUAAUAAUGUUUACAUAUCUUACAUUACUCAUAUCACAUUACUUGUUAGAUAUUACUGCACUGUAGGAACU